GCCAUGUUGGUUUGGACACAUUCGCAUCAGUUCAUCGCUCAAUCGCGAGUUACAGUCUGCUAGCUAGCGAAGUCAUCGACUACCAUCGUUUAAAUACCUUGGCCAGAGCAUAACCGAUUAUCUUCACCCAAGAGACCUACUGUUGGUCAAUCGUUUUGGUUUUAAAGAAGUUGCAUUGAUUCCAGAAAACCAGGAAAAUGUUGAGCCAUCUGUAGACUUCAGAGUUGGUAUGUAAAAUGUAUUGCUGUGAUGCUUAAUUUGUGAUCCUGUAACUAAACUGUACACUUUGUUAGAUUUUCAAAUUUCUGUUCCCUCUUUCUCAGAACCAGGUUUCUCCCUAGUAAUCCAGACUCCACUUCAGAGCCAAGAGUUUGAGUACAAGUAAGUGAUGUUAUUUGUGAUGUUUUUUGUCUUGGAAGCUAUUGCUUCUAUUUAAGAUUAGGAAUCCUUUUAUCCAUAAUCUGUUUUUCUUUAGGGCACUUGACUUUCUGGAUAAAAGGUGUGGAGGUGUGUUGUACAUAUCAUUAGCUUUG
rnacentral:lncRNA from 1 species